AAAUCCGUCCAUAGGGUGACGAGAGUGAAGAGAGAAUUCAAUUUCGGGCAUCCGAGCGCACGAACGGUGAGUAAUUUUGUUUUUUUAUAACACUGUCGGCCGCGUAAUUAUCGCGUUUUUUUUUUUCCACGGUAAACCGACGGCGUCUAUAUGACUGUGUACGUUAUCGGUAGGUACUUGACAGAAUCGAGUAAACCUCGUAAUAAUUUCU